UAGCAACUGGAUGGUCCUUCAGUACAU
rnacentral:piRNA from 1 species